UCGCGGGGUCCUCACGGUGUAGCGACCACGCACGAGCGCGACCUACCGGCCGGAACCUGCGGACCGAGCUUACUCCCCGGCGGGGCAGGCGCCCCAUGGCUGGGAGUUACAAAGUCAUGGAGGACGACGGUUCCAUUGAUUACACUGUUCAUGAGGCCUGGAAUGAAGCCACCAAUGUCUACCUGAUAGUGAUCCUUGUUAGCUUCGCUCUCUUCAUGUAUGCCAAAAGGAAUAAAAGGAGAAUUAUGAGGAUAUUCAGUGUGCCACCUACAGAAGAAACUUUGUCAGAGCCCAACUUUUAUGACACAAUGAGCAAAAUUCGUUUAAGACAACAACUGGAAAUGUAUUCUAUUUCUGAGCUGGGAGGAGAUAGAAGCCCUGCAGCCACACUUCAAAGUGACCCCAGCCGGUAACCUGCUUCGGCCCCUGCACCCACCGGGAUCCCGUGGAAUGUUUCCUUUGGAAGCACGAUGGAAUGACUAAUGAAGUAGCAAUGAACAGUUAUGUCCCCCUUUCUCCUUCCUCUUUCACUGUAGUCAUCUACAGAAGAGGACAAGAGAUCUGUCCAAGCACCAGAGAUCUGAUGAACCACGUGGAAGGCCUGAAGCCCAUGGCCAUGUCCCAUAUGAGUGUGAACCAGAGGGCCAAGGAGCCUACCAUGAAAGGCUGAAGGGUCAGUGCUGCAGCACCGAGGACUGCUGCUCGGAUGCCGGAGAGCCUGUGCUGGCAGGCCAGAGUCCCGGUGCUGAAGCUAAAGAAUCUGCACUGAGAGCCAGGAGAUGACGCUCAGGCGAAGGCGAAGACCAGAGCUCAGCCUAAGCACAGCUGAAGCUUCCUUGAAGAAAAGCAGCCAGAAGGCAAAUCAGCAGCAUGGAAUCUUCUCAAGGGAAAUCAGCAUGAAAUCCUUCAUUCUCCUUUUAUACUGUUUUGAUAGCAAUCCUCCUUCAGUGGGUCCUCCACGCCCAGAACCAAUUCAGCUGGGUGCUCCCACUCGAGGUGAUAGUGAGUCAGUUAACCACUGCAUGGAGUCUUGAAAAAUGUGGAGAUUAAAUGGGUGAGAAACAUCUCCGGGGACAAAAUGGAGAGGUAUAAAAAGGCAGUUAUGUGAAAAAGUAAUUUCUGAUAAACAUAGUAAGUACAGCUAUCUAGACUUAAGGUUGGUGUUUACAUGCAUGCGUGCGCGUGCACACACGCACACACACACACUUGGAGCUUUUCUGGCACCAAGUUUUCCCUGAUCCACUGUAGAAUCUUGCAGAUAGUAAAGUGCUUAACAAAUACUCCAUUUAGUUAAACCAGUUUCAGUAUAGUGUUACCCUAGAAAGCAGCCAGGUCCAUGGAAUAACAGCAUUCUAAUAGAUUGUGAUUCUUUUCUACACAAAAGAAAGUGCAGUGAUUCUACCAUCCUCGUAGCUCUUUGCUGACCCCCUACUUUGUGCAAGUGGGUAAAUCCAAAUAAUAUGUCAUAUUAAUAUCUUCUAAAAAGCAAAAAUAGAGGAAGUGCUUUUCCCAAACAGUAUAGUGUGUGUGUGUGGUACAGAGGAUUGAACUCAGGGCCUUCACACUGAGCUACAU